rnacentral:lncRNA from 1 species
CCCGGAAUGGGGCUAAGGCUGGCCGGCGAUGGACGUCUCUUUUCCUUUGGUUUUUGAGUUUUGGGUUCCCUUUGUGAUUUGGCUGUGAUUGUUCACGGGGCUGAGAGCUGAGCCGCGGAUGGUCUGGCUCCAUGUCCAGGGCCGGAGGGCUCGUGCACGCGCCCAGCUCGGAGGGCAGGAUGAGGCGCUGUGCCCAUGGCCGAGACCCUGCGGAGCCCGUGAUCUCAGUGGAGAAGCUUUCUUAAGCCGCGAGGGAUUUGCUUUUCUGCCUUCGUUGAUUUUCCUUUGGAAACAACUGCUCCGGGGACGGGGACGGGGACGCAAUGGCUCUCUCCUUCUUGCACUUUGGAAGGCGACGUCCCAGAGUUGGGCUCUUUCCAGAACAGGUCGUUUCGCUGGCAGCAGAACAUGGGUGAAGCUUCCUCACGACUACCGGCCCCCACCUCCCCCAAAGUGGGUUUCUCCGGAGGGAUUCUCUGAAGCCGAUUUCUUCUCGCCCCUCCUCUGUCCCACCAUUGAGGCUGCUGACUCGGGCCUGGUCCUGUUUUGGAUGGCUACCCCUGCAAGCGGGAAAUGCG